CCCCCCACUGGGGAUCAAGCCUGUAAUCUGGGCAUGUGCCCUGACUGGGAAUGAACCGUGACCUCCUGCUUCAUAGCUUGAUGCUCAACCACUGAACCAUGGCCGCCUGGCUACUCAACACUUUUUUGAGAAUGAGUGAUAUCUUAUGAAGUAUGUAUGGUACCCUGUGCAUUAAAGUGAGGGGUGAACAAAACAAAAAACAAAACAAAAACACAAAUCUACCCUAUUGUUUGGCCAGGUUUGGUUAACACAAAAUUGUCUUACAUAGGACUAGCAUAAUGAAUAUAAGUGAAGGGGUUUUGGCUUAUAUCAACACCCUUCUGACAAAGGGAAAAGUGGUGUCUGAUCAGCAAGGUGUCCCCUCUGUAGUCAGGUGGUCAAUGGGAGCACAAAGGAGCAGCAUUUCAUUUUCUGUCUUUGUUUCCCGGAAAAAAAGAGACAGAACAUAAAAGCCCCUCCCACUGGCAAAAUCCUGCUGGUCACAGAGGAGCUAAGCCCCUCCUACUGUCAGGAUCCUGCUGCUGACUCAGGAGCUAAGUCCCUCUCAUUGUCAGGAACCUGCUGGUCACACAGGAGCAAAGUCCCUCCCACAUGAGCUACACUCCUCCCACAAAAGGUAAGCCCCUCCCACUGAUAGGAUCCUGUUGGUCACAUAGGAGCUAAGCCCCUCCUACAUGAUCUAAGCCCCUCCCAUUGACAGGGUCCUGCUGGUGCUUAACUCCCAGGUGAUCACUGCCCACUGCCAAGACCAACUUCACAAUAGACGCUCUUCCAAGGCAAGGUUGAACAUUGAUAUCUCCAAGUGUCACCUCUAGCACUUUGGGCUACUCCAGAGUCAGGGUAUAAAAGUCACCCCCACCUCUCCCCUCAGUGUGUAGGCUCCUCAAGGCAGAGCCAGCGUGUGUGGGAUGCUGUUUGGCUUCAGCUGACACAUCUUACAACGUGUGUGUGUGUGUGUGUGUGUGUGUGUGUGUGUGUGUGUGUGUGUUAUGUGUGUGUGUGUUACAGAAUCGCGGCCGCCUCCACUCUGGACACAAGAAAUUUCAGGCCCCAGCCCCUGAGAAGGUGUCCCAGCACACUCAAUGUGUCCAUCUCCUCCUCAGCCAAGUCAAAAGGUGAGAUGCCUACACUGGGGCCAGGUGUGCCCUGCGGGAGGGUCUGCCGGAAGCCUAUGUUCACUGCAUGUGGCCCUGAGUGUGGCCUGUGCUCCUCUGCCACUGAAGACACUGACACCCCGAAUUUCCUACAUCCCUUCUUCCCCACCACCAUCCCCAGGAACUCCCCUUUCUCUGCUUCCUGGACUCAGGUACUUAUAUCAAUUUUUAAAAACCAGCAUUCAGGGCCCUGGCCAAUUUGGCUCAGUGGAUAGAGCAUCAGUCUGCAAACAGAAGGGAUAUUGGCAUAAAAUGGAUCAGGAGGAGGCCUCUUCUGAGGAGAGUGCAUCUAUACAAGUGGAUGCAAAAUUCAUGGCUUCCAAGAGCUCCAGCAACUCAGAGGACCCAUCUCUGUAAGCGGCUUUUCUCAGUUUUGAAAGAUAGUCUGAACCUGACUGAGUCACAAGCAGAAGACUUUGAGCAUAAAGUCUUCUUCAGUGACACAUGUGUUAGAGCCUCUGUUUCCAUGUAAACCAUCAUCAGCAACAUAGGGAUGUCUGUGGAGAGAAGUCCUGGAAAGAAGCAAUUGGUCAGGACUCCUCUCCACAUCAUUUGUGUGCAGAUGCAGCUGCUAUAUCUCAGGGGUGCCUUCAACCGCUAGGGAGCCUGGGAAAGACUUCUCAUCCAUCUUAGCGCUGCUGCAGCCCCAGGCAUCUCUUAGCACAGGCAACCUCACAAUGGUAGUGAGUUUUCACAGAAAUUUAUAGGUGGAAAAACUGACUGCCAAUGGGACAAAUGUAAAAAUGCUGCAAGCCACAGAUAUAAAUUUGUUCAACACCAGGAUGACUCCUCUGGUGGAGUGACAUAUGAGUAUCACAAAUGUGGGAGAGGUUUUAGAUGUGACAUUAACCUCAAUUGACAGGAGAGUUCACACUAAAAAAAAAAAGUCUUUUGAGAUUGAUGAUUUUAGGAAGCUCUUUCAUCAAAGUGCUUCUCUCACUGAACACCAUGGAGUUUACACAGAAGAAAAACUUUUUGAGUUUAGUGAAUGUGGGAAAUCAUUUAGGCAUAAGAAUCUCCUUUUUACCAAAAGAAAGUCCACACUC